CUUUUUCGUGAUUAUUUGGUAUAAAUAGAGAUGCUCUUGGGAAGGUAGUCAUCAUUGCUACAGUUUCUUAGCAAAGCUCUUCAAACUCACUAAAAUGAACUACUUGCUUGCUCUCUUGAUUGUUGCUGCCGUUGUGGCUUGCUGCAUGGCCCAGUGGGGAUAUUCUUCUUACAACUAUAACAAUCCUAAAUAUGGUUACCCAAGCUCUUAUGGAUAUGGUUUUCAACGAAACUUUAUGCCAAACCGUGGAUAUUACAACCAAGGAUGGUACUAAAGGACUUGGACAAAGAUUGGAUAAUGAAUACGGUUUUUGAAACUUGACGAAGAUAUAAUCCUCAUGUCUGCAGACAACUUAAUAUAUGCCAGUUUUUCUUGUAACU